AUAUGAUGAUGAUGAUGAUGAUGAUGAUGAUGAUGAUGAUGAAGAACAUGGUGUUAAUGAAGAAAAAAUAAGUAUUCUUUUUACACUUCUCCGACCUUGCUCCUCCGCCCCCCCACUUCACCAUCAUCACCAUCAUCACCAUCAUCAUCAUCAUCAUCA
rnacentral:pre_miRNA from 1 species